rnacentral:rRNA from 1 species
GGGGCCAGUGAAAUCAUAUAGGGCGAAUGAAUUUACCCGGCGCGUUUCGCCCUUAGAGUUGAUCCUGGCUCACGAUGAACGUUGGCGGCGUGCUUAACACAUGCAAGUCGAACGACGCAGCUUUCUUCGGAAAGGUGACUGACUGGCGGACGGGUGAGUAACGCGUGGGUAACCUGCCCUGUACAGGGGGAUAACAGUUAGAAAUGACUGCUAAUACCGCAUAAGCGCACAGUGCUGCAUGGCACAGUGUGAAAAACUCCGGUGGUAUAGGAUGGACCCGCGUCUGAUUAGCUAGUUGGCAGGGUAACGGCCUACCAAGGCGACGAUCAGUAGCCGGCUUGAGAGAGUGGACGGCCACAUUGGGACUGAGACACGGCCCAGACUCCUACGGGAGGCAGCAGUGGGGAAUAUUGCACAAUGGGGGAAACCCUGAUGCAGCGACGCCGCGUGAGUGAAGAAGUAUUUCGGUAUGUAAAGCUCUAUCAGCAGGGAAGAAAAUGACGGUACCUGACUAAGAAGCCCCGGCUAACUACGUGCCAGCAGCCGCGGUAAUACGUAGGGGGCAAGCGUUAUCCGGAAUUACUGGGUGUAAAGGGUGCGUAGGUGGUACGGCAAGUCAGAAGUGAAAGCCCGGGGCUCAACCCCGGGACUGCUUUUGAAACUGUCGGACUAGAGUGCAGGAGAGUAAGCGGAAUUCCUAGUGUAGCGGUGAAAUGCGUAGAUAUUAGGAGGAACACCAGUGGCGAAGGCGGCUUACUGGACUGUAACUGACACUGAGGCACGAAAGCGUGGGGAGCAAACAGGAUUAGAUACGCUGUAGGUCCACGCCGUAAACGAUGAAUACUAGGUGUCGGGGCCGUAGAGGCUUCGGUUCCGCAGCAGACGCAUUAAGUAUUCCACCUGGGGAGUACGUUCGCAAGAAUGAAACUCAAAGGAAUUGACGGGGACCCGCACAAGCGGUGGAGCAUGUGGUUUAAUUCGAAGCAACGCGAAGAACCUUACCUGGUCUUGACAUCCUCCUGACCGGGCCUUAACCGGCCUUUUCCUUCGGGACAGGAGAGACAGGUGGUGCAUGGUUGUCGUCAGCUCGUGUCGUGAGAUGUUGGAAUAAGUCCCGCAACGAGCGCAACCCUUAUCUUUAGUAGCCAGCAUUUUGGAUGGGCACUCUAGAGAGACUGCCAGGGAUAACCUGGAGGAAGGUGGGGAUGACGUCAAAUCAUCAUGCCCCUUAUGGCCAGGGCUACACACGUGCUACAAUGGUGGUAACAAAGUGAAGCGAGCCCGCGAGGGGGAGCAAAUCACAAAAAUGCCAUCUCAGUUCGGAUUGUAGUCUGCAACUCGACUACGUGAAGCUGGAAUCGCUAGUAAUCGCGAAUCAGAAUGUCGCGGUGAAUACGUUCCCGGGUNCAAGCACACACGUCCCGUCAAGGGCGAAUUCGUNUAAAACAACACGACUGGGCCCUUUAGUGAGGCUAAUUCUGGCUGCAGUCUGGAAAAAA